AAGGAGAAAGCAACAUCACCACCAUACCUGUCUCCAAAGAGAUGCAAAGUUUCAAUGGAGCAGCAACCUUCAGGGGGUGAGAGGGUGAGGAAUAACAGCAUAACAGAGUUGGAAGGGACCUUGGAGAUCUUGUAGUCCAACCCCUGCUCAAGCAGCGCCACUCCGUGAUGAACUCAGGCCCAAUGGAUUGGUAUGCUCUGGAUCAUACACAAGACACGGAGAUUCUAUCCAGCCGGCUCAGCAAAUUCUCUGUCUCGGCCGAGAGACCCAUUGUGUCAACCUUAAUUUUACCAUGAAUACAUUUGGAGCUAUUGAAGAAAGGGCUAUGCUCCGAGGAUGCGCAACCCCAGACAUAUGUUCCUAUCCUGUUGGAGAGUCAAGC